GUGUUUAUAGUGCUGUGAGUUUAACACUUCAUGACUGACAGCAGAACAGAACACAAUCUUCAUCAUCACACAACACAAAACGACAACAAUGACCUUCAGCAUCAUCUACAUCUGGACACUUUUAUUCUGUAUACAAGGAUCGAGUGGACAAAUCACAGUGACUCAGACACCUUCAGUGAAACUUGCUGCUCCAGGAGAGACUGUUGUGUUGAAAUGUACUGCCAGCACUCCUCCAGCCUGUAACCCACCCUGUCUGUACUGGUACUUACAGAAACCUGGAGAAGCUCCUAAACUCCUGAUUUAUAGAGUGAGCAGCCUUCAGUCUGGAACUCCAUCUAGAUUCAGUGGCAGUGGAUCUGGAAGUGAUUUCACUCUGACCAUCAGUGGAGUCCAGACUGAAGAUACAGGAGAUUAUUACUGUCUGAGUGAACACUCCAUCAACAGUAAAUAUGUGUUCACACAGUGAUAAAGAGUCGUACAAAAACCUCCAUCAGUCAGACUGCACAGUGACUGCACUGAUACAACUGACAGAUACUGCAGCUGCUCAUACAACACAAUCACACACAACACUGAUCAGUGGACAAACACAAAUGAAACACAAUGUGAUCUAAUGAUGAAUGAAUGGUGUUAAGGUUCAUCAGUAUUUUUGAUAAUUAAGAUAUAGUUUUGAUGUGAUCAUCAUCACAUUCCAGGUUUAAUUUCAACAGAAUGAAUUCAUGAGUCCUGCUGUGUUCAGUCACUUCUGCUCUCUUGACACAAAGAGUUCCUGAAUAACCAUUAGAACAUUUUUCAACAUGAUUUCUCAUCCCAAUCACUGUCAGAAGGACUGAUUCAAAGUUUUUGUUUAUACAGUGUGUUUAUUUAAAAUACGUGUCCUUCAAUAUGUAUCCAAUCCAAUCUUCUUCCUAAUUACAAUAUAUGAAAGUUCAUCAUCUCUUACCAGCAUCAUAAAGAGCAUGAACAGUUUCUCAAGUUGCUGCUUUAAGUUCACAUCCCUGUUUCAUGAUGCAGCUACUGUAUUAUAC